rnacentral:rRNA from 1 species
UAGGGAAUCUUCGGCAAUGGGGGGAACCCUGACCGAGCAACGCCGCGUGAGUGAAGAAGGUUUUCGGAUCGUAAAGCUCUGUUGUUAAGGAAGAACGAGUGUGAGAAUGGAAAGUUCAUGCUGUGACGGUACUUAACCAGAAAGGGACGGCUAACUACGUGCCAGCAGCCGUGGUAAUACGUAGGUCCCGAGCGUUGUCCGGAUUUAUUGGGCGUAAAGCGAGCGCAGGCGGUUAGAAAAGUCUGAAGUGAAAGGCAGUGGCUCAACCAUUGUAGGCUUUGGAAACUGUUUAACUUGAGUGCAGAAGGGGAGAGUGGAAUUCCAUGUGUAGCGGUGAAAUGCGUAGAUAUAUGGAGGAACACCGGUGGCGAAAGCGGCUCUCUGGUCUGUAACUGACGCUGAGGCUCGAAAGCGUGGGUAGCAAACAGG